ACACACAAGCUUGCAGCCUGCAAGACAGCUUUGCAGAGGGAAAUCUACUGGCAAGUUUUCAGCUCUUCCAGGAGCUAGGCAGCUUUCUUCAGGAAAGCUCUUUGAGCCCUCUCAGGAUGAAGUCCAACAGGGAUUGGAUCCGCAUCAGGUGGCAUCCAAACACAAGGACUUAGAGGGUGUGAACAAAGAAGGUCUGCUGGGGCAGAGGAAUUGAAAUUGACAAGAUGAAUGGGGACACUGGGAUGAGUCUGCCAGCAGCAGAUAUGUCAGUGCCCUAAAGAGGUAAUGGGAGUGAUAUAAGGAGAUGGACAAACUGUGUGGGUGCCCUGAAGGUGUGUGUGACCAUGGAAUGGGAGACUGGAGGAACCCAUGAUUGCAAACCAUGGGCCUGGUCCCUCUGGUAUGAACCAUGAGCCAGCUAAGCCUGAGUGCAAAGACAGAGAGAAGGCUGACCAGAGUCAUCAACCCCCAUAAUGACAUCAACCCCCAUAACCAGGGGCAACUCAAGAAAACCACACAGGAUGCUAGAAAACUACUGGAACAUCAAAGCCAGACAAA
rnacentral:lncRNA from 1 species